rnacentral:lncRNA from 1 species
CAAUCAUUGCCUGGGCUUUGUGCCUUUAUCGGCCGGAUAAAGUAAAGGCCUUGGUGAAUAUGAGUGUUGCUUUCCAGCCAAGAGAUCCUAAUACCAAACCUGUUGAAGCGUAUCGAGAGAUUUAUGGAAACGAUUACUAUGUCGUUAGAUUUCAGGUUCUCUAAUUUAUAAUUCUCUCAUCAUAAAUCAUAAAUAAAUACUAUCACUGCAUGCCACCAUGCACUAACAACCAUUAAUUAAUAAUUAACCACCACUCGCCAUUAUAUAUAUGUUCCAGGAAACUGGAGAAAUUGAAGGUGAAUUUGCGGUAUAUGGUACAGAGAGAGUAUUAAAUGCUUUCUUCAAUUAUCGAAAACCUGCCCCUCUUUUUCUACCCAAGGGUAAUGGUUUAGGAAUCUCACCUGAUGAUCCUAUAAUCGUGCCUUCAUGGAUGACCAAAGAAGAUCUUGAAUACUACACCGGAAAGUUUGAGAAAACUGGCUUCACUGGAGGUCUAAACUACUAUCGAGCUCUCGACUUGUAAGUCUGAUGAUGAUUUGAACUAUAUAUAUAUAGUAAAAAUGGAGGAUUGAGAAAUUAAAAAUUAAUAUUUUUGAUCUACAUAUAUAUAUGAAGGAACUGGGAAUUAACUGGCCCAUGGACUGAAGCCAAAGUGAGUGUACCUGUUAAGUUCAUCGUGGGUGACCUUGACCUGACUUACAACUCGGUUGGCGGAAAAGACUAUAUAGAAAGUGGAGAGUUCAAGAAAGAUGUUCCUCUUUUAGAAGAUGUAAUCAUACUGGAAGGUGUUGCUCAUUUUCUUCAUGAAGAAAAACCUGAGGAAAUUAACAAGCAUAUCCACCAAUUCUUUGAACAAUUCUCUAUCUAAAUACUACAACCGUUUAUAUAUAUGCUCAUUCAGCGAGAGAAUAUAUUUAAGAAGAUGCUCUGAAGAUAUUGCUACGUACAAAUGCAACAUAAGCUUGUGUAUUGCAGUAUAGAUACAAUAAUGCCUUCAAGAAACGCCUUGUCGUUGCUAUAUAUAUAGACUAGACUCUUGGCGACACAUAUUGUUCGUUACAGGGUUUGUCGAUAUUGCUAGUCCAAAUGAUUUGUAAUAAAGAUGAUCUUAAAAUAAAAAUGCAUCAACAAUCAAAUCAUUAGAUUGGUGGUUUGAACAAAUGGAUUAAAAUAUAUAAUAUUAAACCACACCGAUCAUCGAUCUCACGUUCAAACCAAACAAAACCCGGCCAGAAUUUAAUAAAACCCAAUAGUCAUAUAAAAGUGAUUAACAUAAUUGAAAGAAAAGAAAAUUAUAGGGAUACCAAAUUACCAAUUGCAAGAAGGAGGCCUCACAUCUACUCCAAAAGCUAUCAAGACAAUAUACACCUGACCUAAACAAAAAAUAAAACGGAUGAGUCAAGUAACAAACAAAACCUAAUCUAUAACAAACUGAUCCUGAUUUGUUUAUCACAAAAGCCGACUUUAGGAUUAUCUUCGGAUUUGGUAGAAAAUUUUGGCUCCGGUAUAAGCAGAUUUGGAUCGGAUAUGAUCCGUAUUUUCGUAUUAUCCGUUUUUUAUAUUUAUUUUUAAAAGUAUAUUUAGCUCCAACCAAAU